UCUUCAUUUCACGCGCGCUCUCUCACCGGUCAGAGAGGCGAGAGAGUACGCGAAAUGAAGAGA
rfam:Pristionchus pacificus strain PS312 contig9470, whole genome shotgun sequence.